UACGUAGAGAGCAAGCGCUGUCCGGAAUCAUUGGGUGUAAAGGGUACGCAGGCGGUCUAUUAAGUCAGAGGUGAAAUCCAACAGCUCAACUGUUGAACUGCCUUUGAUACUGGUAGACUUGAGGAUAAGAGAAGAAAACGGAAAUUCCUAGUGUAGCGGUGAAAUGCGUAGAUAUUAGGAAGAAUACCGAUGGCGAAAGCAGUUUUCUAACUUAUUCCUGACGCUCAGGUACGAAAGCUAGGGUAGCAAACGGG
rnacentral:rRNA from 1 species